GACGAACGCUGGCGGCGUGCCUAACACAUGCAAGUCGAACGGGGUAGCAAUACCCAGUGGCAAACGGGUGCGUAACACGUGAGGAACUUGUCCAUCGGUGGGGGAUAGCCGGCCCAACGGCCGGGUAAUACCGCGUACGACCGUCGAGGGGCAUCCCUUGAUGGUGAUAGCAGCAAUGCGCCGAUGGAGGGCCUCGCGGCCUAUCAGCUAGUUGGUGAGGUCACGGCUCACCAAGGCAACGACGGGUAGCUGGUCCGAGAGGAUGACCAGCCACAUUGGGACUGAGACACGGCCCAGACUCCUACGGGAGGCAGCAGUGAGGAAUCUUGCGCAAUGGGCGAAAGCCUGACGCAGCGACGCCGCGUGUGGGAUGAAGGCCUUCGGGUUGUAACCACUGUCGGGAGGGACGAAGUCUGACGGUACCUCCAAAGGAAGCACCGGCUAACUCUGUGCCAGCAGCCGCGGUAAUACAGAGGGUGCGAGCGUUGUCCGGAUUACG
rnacentral:rRNA from 1 species